rnacentral:rRNA from 1 species
GACGAACGCUGGCGGCGUGCUUAACACAUGCAAGUCGAACGGAAAGGCCCUGCUUUUGUGGGGUGCUCGAGUGGCGAACGGGUGAGUAACACGUGAGUAACCUGCCCUUGACUUUGGGAUAACUUCAGGAAACUGGGGCUAAUACCGGAUAGGAGCUCCUGCUGCCUGGUGGGGGUUGGAAAGUUUCGGCGGUUGGGGAUGGACUCGCGGCUUAUCAGCUUGUUGGUGGGGUAGUGGCUUACCAAGGCUUUGACGGGUAGCCGGCCUGAGAGGGUGACCGGCCACAUUGGGACUGAGAUACGGCCCAGACUCCUACGGGAGGCAGCAGUGGGGAAUAUUGCACAAUGGGCGGAAGCCUGAUGCAGCAACGCCGCGUGCGGGAUGACGGCCUUCGGGUUGUACACCGCUUUCGCCUGUGACGAAGCGUGAGUGACGGUAAUGGGUAAAGAAGCACCGGCUAACUACGUG